UUCUAGGGUUCCAAGAACCAGCCCGCCGCCGCCGCUCCCAUCGUCGCCUGCUCGUCGUCCGUCCUGCAGUCUGUUUCUCGUUGCCGUGUCCCUUUUAUCUUUCUCUCAGUUGUUUUGCAUCAUUUCGAUCUGUAACUUACUGUGGUCCUCUCUUGUUCAUACCGGCGGGGGCACGAACUCUUUUGUGCGGCGCCGCCCAUGCAAAGAGGGGAUAGAUCGACGCGUCAAGAAAUCGUUUCAGUUGCCAUGACUCCAAUCGUUUUCUGCACGGUGCUAACCCCGGGCUUGUCGGAUUACUACCUUGAAGAAGGAAGCCCCAAUGCCUGUGCUAGAUCCACCAUGCCAUUCAGUGUUGCAGGCUAUGACAAAUCCUGUCAUUGGUUUGUGUCAAAGCAAUGGAUACAGAUAUUCAUAACAGUUCAUCUCUUAUGAACUUUCUUUGCUGUUUUCAUUUGAUUGACGGCAGUGUUUUUGUUUGAUUGAUGGCAGUGAUUUGACAUUACCCGCGCUUCUGAUGUAACAGUGAAGCAAAGGGAAAAAUAAUGGUUGAAUAUCUUAA